AUGGGUUGUAAGCUUGGCAAGCAGAUACAACUUCCAUAUCCCUCUAGUAAUUCUGUUUCUCAACGACCUUUUGAACUUGUUCACUCUGAUGUAUGGGGUCCUGCCCCCUUUGUUUCGAAAGGGGGUCACAAAUAUUAUAUAAUUUUCAUUGAUGAUUUUUCUCGCCACACUUGGAUCUACUUUAUGUCAUCUCGUAGUCAAGUGCUUCAAAUUUACAAGUCGUUUGCUACCAUGGUUCGCACUCAGUAUGAUUCCUCUGUUCGAGUUUUUCGUGCUGAUUCGGCUGGCGAGUACUUAUCUCGUGCGCUUCGUGGUUUCCUUGCUGAACAGGGUACCCUUCCUCAGUAUUCCUGUCCUGGUGCACACGCUCAAAAUGGGGUGGCUGAACGCAAACAUCGUCACGUCCUUGAGACUGCUCGGGCUCUUCUUUUAUCUUCUGCUGUUCCCCCGCACUUUUGGGUUGAGGCUGUCUCUACCGCUGUUUAUCUCAUUAAUAUUCAGCCUUCUGUUGCUCUUCAGGGAGGGAUACCAGUUGAUCAUCUAGGUGAUGGUCCAGCUGAUUAUAGUGGUCUACGCCUGUUUGGUUGUGCCUGUUUUGUUCUUCUCCACCCUCAUGAACGCACCAAAUUGACUGCUCAAUCUGUUGAAUGUGUUUUCCUUGGCUACAGUUUGGAGCACAAAGGUUACCGUUGCUGGGACCCUAUUGCUCGAAGACUGAGAAUCUCCAAAGAUGUCACUUUUGAUGAGUCUCGCUCCUUCUACCCUUGUCAUUCUUCUACUGCCACAACCGAGUCGUUAGUCGAGCCUCUCUCUUUUUUGACUCUACCUGAUUCUUCACCUUUAUCGUCACCUGGUAGGUCCACUCCUAGCCUUUCACCUGUGUCUGCUCAUGAGCUUCAGCUUACACAGGAUGAGGUUUCUAUUCCUGACUCUCCUACUCGGGUUGAGCCAUCCACUCUCUCUCCUUUUCCUUUUACCUACUCCCGUCGUGCUCAACACCCUUCUCCCUCUGAUGCGCCACCUUCCACUUCCCCUCUCUCUCCGCUUCCUUUUGUCUACUCCCGUCGUGCUCGGCACCCUUCUCCCUCGGAUGCGCCCACUUCCACUUCCACUCCUUCCCUGUUGGGUCCCAUUCCUUCAGAACCACCUACCCCUCCUGCUCCCCGGUAUAAUCUGCGUGAUCGCCACACUCUCCAGCCUCCUGCAUACUAUGUUGCUGCUGCUACCACUCUUGUUGAGCCGUCUACGUAUCGUGAGGCUGCUGCUCAUUCUGAAUGGCAGCAUGCUAUGGCAGAGGAAAUUCAUGCUCUUGAGCGCACAGGCACUUGGGACCUUGUACCCCUGCCUACAGGCGUUAGACCCAUCACUUGCAAAUGGGUCUACAAGGUUAAGACACAUUCAGAUGGUUCUCUCGUGCGCUACAAAGCUCGUCUUGUUGCGCGUGGCUUCCAGCAGGAGUAUGGUCGUGACUAUGAUGAGACUUUUGCUCCUGUUGCUCACAUGACCACUGUUCGCACUCUUUUGGCUGUUGCUGCUGUUCGGCAGUGGUCCAUCUCUCAAUUAGAUGUCAAGAAUGCCUUCUUGAAUGGUGAGCUGCGGGAAGUGGUCUAUAUGCAGCCGCCUCCUGGCUAUACUGUCUCUGAUGGCACUGUCUGUCGCCUUCGGCGCGCUCUUUACGGGCUGAAACAAGCUCCUCGUACCUGGUUUGAGCGUUUCUCCGCCGUCAUCACAAGGAUCGGGUUCUCUGCUAGUGUUCAUGAUCCUGCUCUGUUUAUUCACACUUCUCCUCGCGGUCGCACCCUUUUACUACUCUAUGUUGAUGACAUGAUUAUCACAGGGGCUGACCACCAAUUCAUUGAUUUUGUGAAGAAACGUCUACAUGAGCAAUUCUUGAUGACUGAUUUGGGUUCUCUUCGCUACUUUCUUGGACUUGAGAUCAUUUCUUCCCCUGAGGGUAUUUAUCUCUCUCAAGAGAAGUACAUCCAAGAUCUUCUCACGCGUGCCUGCCUCACUGAUCAGCGCACGGUUGACACUCCUAUGGAGUUUGGUCUCCAUCUUCGUCCUGGUGAGGGUGAACCCCUUGCAGAUCCCACACGCUACCGCCAUCUUGUUGGGAGCCUUGUCUAUCUAGGCAUCACUCGUCCUGACAUUUCUUAUGUUGUGCACAUUCUAAGUCAGUUUGUCUCUGCUCCCACUCAACUUCACUACAGUCACCUUCUUCGUGUUCUUCGUUACCUUCGUGGUACCGUGACUCGUCGCUUAUUCUUCCCUCGCUCUAGCUCUCUUCAGCUUCAGGCCUACUGUGAUGCUACCUGGGCCAGCGAUCCCACUGAUCGCCGCUCUCUCUCUGCCUAUUGUGUUUUUCUUGGCUCCUCCCUGAUUGCCUGGAAGAUCAAGAAGCAGAAUGCUGUAUCUCGCUCCAGUGCUGAGGCUGAGCUGCGAGCUAUGGCGUCCGUGACUGCAGAAAUUACUUGGCUACGAUGGCUUCUUCAGGAUUUUGGUGUUUCCACUGCUACACCGACCCCUCUGCUCUCCGACAGCACUGGGGCACUCAGCAUUGCCCAUGAUCCUGUUAAGCAUGAGCUCACCAAGCACAUCGGUGUUGAUGCCUCCUACACUCGUUCUCAGGUGCAAGACAGAAUUGUGGCCCCUCAGUAUGUGCCCUCGGAGCUUCAGCUUGCUGAUUUUCUGACGAAAGCUCAGACACGGUCCCAACACAGCUUUUUCCUGUCCAAACUCGGUGUCCAAGAUCCCCCUUGA
rnacentral:rRNA from 1 species